GCCCGGUUUGCCAGGGUCUGAGAUUUAUGUCUCUAAUUUCAGUUGAUUCAAUUACCACAGUGGCCCAUGGAGAUGGUCAGUGGCGAGUGGUCACUGCAUGUAGUCAUUUGGGGUGAUCAGUGGGUUUGGUCAGUUUGGGUAGUCAGUGGUUUGUGAUCAGUUUGCAUGGUCAGUGCAGUGUGGUCAAUGGGAUGUGAUCACUGGCUGUGGGCAAUGGGUGUGGGGAGUGGUGUGUGGUCAGUGGGUGUGGUCAGUGGGUGUGGUCAGUGAGGGGUGGUAACUUGGUGGGGGGGGGGGGGGGGGGGGGGGGGGGGGGGGGGGGGGGGGGGGGGGGGGGGGGGGGGGGGGGGGGGGGGGGGGGG
rnacentral:lncRNA from 12 species